AGGCAUGGUGAUGCCUGGAAUAGAAGGCUGCAGGACAUCUUCGACAGGCUGCUGCUCCAACUUCAGAAGGAGUUUUGAAGCACUUUCUAAUCAGAUUUAGAUCUAAUUUUUGGAGUGUAGAUUCAGAGGAGAAGAUGUUCCAGAUCCUGCCUGAGUGGAUACCGGUAGAGUUCAAGCGCUUGUGUGGCUACAUCAGAACCUCGGGCUGUGCAGA
rnacentral:lncRNA from 1 species